rnacentral:rRNA from 1 species
UACAGAGGGUGCAAGCGUUAAUCGGAAUUACUGGGCGUAAAGCGUGCGUAGACGGUUAUGUAAGUCGGGUGUGAAAGCCCCGGGCUCAACCUGGGAAUGCCAUUCGAGACUGCAUAGCUAGGGUGCGGAAGAGGGAAGCGGAAUUUCAGGUGUAGCGGUGAAAUGCGUAGAUAUCUGAAGGAACACCAGUGGCGAAAGCAGCUUCCUGGUCCAGCACCGACGUUCAGGCACGAAAGCGUGGGGAGCAAACAGG